GACGAACGCUGGCGGCGUGCUUAACACAUGCAAGUCGAACGGAAAGGCCCUGCUUUUGUGGGGUGCUCGAGUGGCGAACGGGUGAGUAACACGUGAGUAACCUGCCCUUGACUUUGGGAUAACUUCAGGAAACUGGGGCUAAUACCGGAUAGGAGCUCCUGCUGCAUGGUGGGGGUUGGAAAGUUUCGGCGGUUGGGGAUGGACUCGCGGCUUAUCAGCUUGUUGGUGGGGUAGUGGCUUACCAAGGCUUUGACGGGUAGCCGGCCUGAGAGGGUGACCGGACACAGUGGGACUGAGAUACGGCGGAGACUGCUACGGGUGGCAGCAGUGGGGAGUAUGGCACAAUGGGCGGAAGCCUGAUGCAGCAACGCCGCGUGCGGGAUGACGGCCUUCGGGUUGUAGACCGCUUUCGCCUGUGACGAAGCGUGAGUGACGGUAAUGGGUAAAGAAGCGCCGGCUAACUACGUG
rnacentral:rRNA from 1 species